rnacentral:rRNA from 1 species
AACGCGAAGAACCUUACCUGGCCUUGACAUCCACGGAAUUUGGCAGAGAUGCCUUAGUGCCUUCGGGAACCGUGAGACAGGUGCUGCAUGGCUGUCGUCAGCUCGUGUUGUGAAAUGUUGGGUUAAGUCCCGCAACGAGCGCAACCCUUAUCCUUUGUUGCCAGCACGUAAUGGUGGGAACUCAAAGGAGACUGCCGGUGAUAAACCGGAGGAAGGUGGGGAUGACGUCAAGUCAUCAUGGCCCUUACGGCCAGGGCUACACACGUGCUACAAUGGCGCAUACAAAGAGAAGCGACCUCGCGAGAGCAAGCGGACCUCAUAAAGUGCGUCGUAGUCCGGAUCGGAGUCUGCAACUCGACUCCGUGAAGUCGGAAUCGCUAGUAA